AGCGAACGCUGGCGGCAGGCCUAACACAUGCAAGUCGAACGAAGUCUUCGGACUUAGUGGCGGACGGGUGAGUAACACGUGGGAACGUACCUUUUGGUUCGGAACAACUCAGGGAAACUUGAGCUAAUACCGGAUGAGCCCUUAGGGGGAAAGAUUUAUCGCCGAAAGAGCGGCCCGCGUUAGAUUAGAUAGUUGGUGAGGUAAAGGCUCACCAAGGCUACGAUCUAUAGCUGGUCUGAGAGGUUGAUCAGCCACACUGGGACUGAGACACGGCCAAGAAUCUUCCGGGAGGCAGCAGGGGGGAAUCUUGCGCAAUGGGCGAAAGCCUGACGCAGACAUGCCGCGGGAAUGAUGAAGGUCUUAGGAUUGUAAAAUUCUUUUACCAGGGACGAUAAUGACGGUACCUGGAGAAAAAGCCCCGGCUAACUUCGUGCCAGCCGCCGCAGUAACAC
rnacentral:rRNA from 1 species